GGCUGUGUGGUCUAGUGGUAUGAUUCUCGCUUAGGGUGCGAGAGAUCCCGAGUUCAAUUCUCGGCACAGCUC
rnacentral:tRNA from 1 species